UCAUUAGCGAGUCUGUAAAACAGCUCCAUAAAACCCAUGUGAACGUACCGUCAUGUUGCCUCGGCAGGUCGUGCUGUCGGGUCGCCGGCUACCACCUCCUUUAGGGGCUACCCUGUACUUACCCUAUAGGAGUUACCCUGGAGUUGGUAGUAGCUACCCUGCAGCACGCAACCUGGCCUGCCGAAGGUCUCUAAACUCUGUUUUUUUAUAUUACCUGUACUUCUGAAUUUUCGUAUGCGAAUACGUUACAACUUUCAACAACGGAUCUCUUGGUUCUGGCAUCGAUGAAGAACGCAGCGAAAUGCGAUAAGUAAUGCGAAUUGCAGAAAUUCAGUGAAUCAUCGAAUCUUUGAACGCACAUUGCGCCCAAUAGUAUUCUGUUGGGCAUGCCUGUUCGAGCGUCAUUUCGACCAUUAAGCCUUGUCUGCUUAGCGUUGGGAAUUUACGUACCCUGUAAUUCCUUAAAAUCAGUGGCGGAGCUGGGUCAUGCUCUAAGCGUAGUAACUAAAUCUCUCGCUUAUGCGGCUGGCCUGUCUCCUGCCAUAAAGACCCCCCUAUAUAAGUUUUAUAUGGGAAAAACAUCUAGUGGUUGACCUCGGAUCAGGUAGGAAUACCCGCUGAACUUAAGCAUAUCAAUAAGCGGAGGAAAAGAAACCAACAGGGAUUGCCCUAGUAGCGGCGAGCGAAGCGGCAACAGCUCAAAUUUGAAAUCUGGCCCUCGGGUCCGAAUUGUAAUUUGUAGAGGAUGCUUUUGGCGCGGUGCCUUCCGAGUUCCCUGGAACGGGACGCCGUAGAGGGUGAGAGCCCCGUACGGUUGGACACCAAGCCUCUGUAAAGCUCCUUCGACGAGUCGAGUAGUUUGGGAAUGCUGCUCUAAAUGGGAGGUAAAUUUCUCCUAAAGCUAAAUACUGGCCAGAGACCGAUAGCGCACAAGUAGAGUGAUCGAAAGAUGAAAAGCACUUUGAAAAGAGGGUUAAAUAGCACGUGAAAUUGUUGAAAGGGAAGCGUUUACGGCCAGACCUUCUCCUAGCGGAUCAUCCGGUGUUCUCACCGGUGCACUCUGCCAGGUUUAGGCCAGCAUCGGCUCCUGUAGGGGGAUAAAAGCCUCGGGAAAGUAGCUCUCUCGGGAGUGUUAUAGCCCGUCGCAUAAUACCCUUAUGGGGACCGA
rnacentral:rRNA from 1 species